rnacentral:lncRNA from 1 species
AUGGAAAUGAGAUCAUGUCACAGAAGAGGUCAGAAGAAAGGAAUGGCUCUAAAGGGUGAUAUCUGGCUUCUGAGGCCAAUAAAUGCCUUUUCUGGUGGAUGGAUGUUUUAUGUGAGGCCGUGUAUUCCCUUUGAGUUAUGUGGUAUUAUCAAAGAAAACCAGAAAAGUGUAUAUCUUCCAAAGAGACGUGUAAAGGAGCUGGUGGCACACUGGGGACAUCAGCAGGUGGAUCUGGGAUUUUGCUGUGUCCUUACCCCAAGGGAAGCAGAGCAAGGAUUUGCUGUACAGUCACCCCUGGUCAGGAAUCUAGAGAUGAGAAAUGUGCAAAACCAUUUGCAGCCAUGCAUUGCAUCAGAAACCAAGGGGGAAAGAAAAAAUUAGAGGAGUACAAUGUAAUGAAGCAUGGAGCUGGAACUAGGCCACACCUCAGCUGGAAAAUGUCAAAUUCUAUUAUGCCAUCCUCAAAAGCAUAAAUCAUAGCUGCACAUUUUUAAAGGUAUAAAUGAGGGAGGGGAAAAAUAUGUAUUUAUAGUACAGAAUGUUAGAGUAUGGGAUUUUAUUUAUGUAAUGUAGA